GGGUUCCGGAGCUAACGCGUUAAGUCGACCGCCUGGGGAGUACGGCCGCAAGGUUAAAACUCAAAUGAAUUGACGGGGGCCCGCACAAGCGGUGGAGCAUGUGGUUUAAUUCGAUGCAACGGAAGAACCUUACCUACUCUUGACAUCCAGCGAACUUUCCAGAGAUGGAUUGGUGCCUUCGGGAACGCUGAGACAGGUGCUGCAUGGCUGUCGUCAGCUCGUGUUGUGAAAUGUUGGGUUAAGUCCCGCAACGAGCGCAACCCUUAUCCUUUGUUGCCAGCGAUUCGGUCGGGAACUCAAAGGAGACUGCCGGUGAUAAACCGGAGGAAGGUGGGGAUGACGUCAAGUCAUCAUGGCCCUUACGAGUAGGGCUACACACGUGCUACAAUGGCGCAUACAAAGAGAAGCGACCUCGCGAGAGCAAGCGGACCUCAUAAAGUGCGUCGUAGUCCGGAUCGGAGUCUGCAACUCGACUCCGUGAAGUCGGAAUCGCUAGUAAUCGUGGAUCAGAAUGCCACGGUGAAUACGUUCCCGGGCCUUGUACACACCGCCCGUCACACCAUGGGAGUGGGUUG
rnacentral:rRNA from 1 species